rnacentral:SRP_RNA from 1 species
GCGAGACUUAAUUCCUUUGUUGAGGGCGUAUUUUUGUGAAGUCUGCCCGAAGCACGUAGUGUUUGAAGAUUUCGGUCCUAUGCAAUAUGAACCCAUGAAUCAUGUCAGGUCCUGACGGAAGCAGCAUUAAGUGGACUCUCAUAUGUGCCGUAGGGUAGCCGAGAUUUAGCUAACGACUUCGGUAACGUUUGUGAUAUACGUUCGAUACAAAGGUGCACGG